UGCGUAGGCGGUCUUUCAAGUCAGGAGUGAAAGGCUACGGCUCAACCGUAGUAAGCUCUUGAAACUGUAAGACUUGAGUGCAGGAGAGGAGAGUGGAAUUCCUAGUGUAGCGGUGAAAUGCGUAGAUAUUAGGAGGAACACCAGUUGCGAAGGCGGCUCUCUGGACUGUAACUGACGCUGAGGCACGAAAGCGUGGGGAGCAAACA
rnacentral:rRNA from 1 species